rnacentral:lncRNA from 1 species
UUUUAUUUUCCUCAAAACCCUAGGUUUCAUCUUUUAUCAAUUUAUUCUCUUUUGUGUCUUAUUUCUUCUGAAAACCCGGUUUGGAAUUUGCUUUCGUAGCUGACAAUCGACUCAACAUCGUCUUCAAGGUUUGCUUGCUGUCAUCUCUAUCUGUCGCCAUUUUUCACGGGUAUGCUAAUUUCACUUGGAUCGUUUGAAGAUUCUCUAAAGUUUGUCACUCUACUUUUAAGAUUCAGGAGAUACCAGCAAGGUUUAAAAGAACGGAAUCGAGCCUCGAGGUGUUUUUCGUAACUAACUCCAUUAGGCGCACCUGAGGCGCACGUUUUCUUACUGCCUCAGCCCUGAGAGGCGUACAGACAAACAUAACCCGAUGAGGCGCUCAUACACUUUUUCUCAUGACCGAUGACACUUUUUCUAUUGAUCAAGUGAAGAAUAGAAAGAGUAAGGAUUCGAGAUCGAUGAAACUGUUCAAGAUCGCACUUGCGGAUUUUGUGAAGGAGGUAUUAAAUCCGUCAUGGAGACAGGGUAAUAUGAGUAAAGAGGCGUUUAAGACAAUCAUUAAGAAGACUGUUUAUAAAGUGUCGGGAGCUAUGAAGAAACACCAGAUACCCAAGUCCCAAACCAAGAUAAAUCAUUACAUUGAUUCUUCUCAAAGAAAGCUCACUAAGCUUGUAAUGGGCUAUGUUGACAAAUAUGUGAAGGUAUAGUAAAGACGUGAUUUGUGGCUGAAAAUGGGGAAUGGAUAUGAUGAAUAUGAUCAGGUAAGCAGCUCUUGCUGUACUGGUAGGAUAUUACUUGAACAACAUUUGAGAUUCAACGACACUGGUGUCUUGUGCUGAAGAACAUGGGAGUCGAAUGGCAAUGAUUAUAUCUGAUGGAUGAUCAUGUUGGGUCCAGUCUUCGACAUACUAGUAUGAACUCCCAUAAACAAGCUACAAACCUUAUGGUUGCUGCACCAGUUGUAUAAAUCGUACGAGCUCGUCAUCUUAGUUAAAUGCUAAAGCCUCAAUGACUAGUGUGUCACCACUGGGACCUCUUAGCAUAAAAAACAAGCACGCCUUAGUUUGAUGACAGAUUUUGACGACUUCAAUGGCCCUCAGGAGUACCAUACCGGCGACAAAAAGAGUUGAGAGAAUUGUGGAAUGACUUUUGCUCUGGUACCUUAAGAACAUAAGAAUUUAGUUCAUACCGAGAUUGUAUUGGUGCAUCCAUCGCAUGGCCCUAUCCGUUCAUCUCGAUAGUCCAUGAGGAUUGAGGGCGCAUGAUGACUCAAGAUUUUAUGAUUCUUAUUUCUUUAAUUGCUUUUAAUUUCUUUGUUAAAUAUUAAGAUUUUAUGUUAGAUAAUGUUAUAACUUAUUUAUGGUUAGUGUUUUUGUUAAGAACAUGCUUAUUUGAAAUAUAAUGAAGUUUUAUUUCU